rnacentral:rRNA from 1 species
UACGAAGGGGGCUAGCGUUGCUCGGAAUCACUGGGCGUAAAGCGCACGUAGGCGGCUUCUUAAGUCAGGGGUGAAAUCCUGGAGCUCAACUCCAGAACUGCCUUUGAUACUGGGAGGCUCGAGUCCGGGAGAGGUGAGUUGAACUGCGAGUGUAGAGGUGAAAUUCGUAGAUAUUCGCAAGAACACCAGUGGCGAAGGCGGCUCACUGGCCCGGUACUGACGCUGAGGUGCGAAAGCGUGGGGAGCAAACAGG